rnacentral:lncRNA from 1 species
CCAGACCCCGCCGCCCGAACGCGCACAAGUUGGCAGCUGCAGCCAGGGCCCCCGAGCGCCCUGCGAAGUCCGUAGCGGGGCCCCCGUUCUAGAAGGGGGCUGCCCUGUUCUCUCCGGCCACAGACCGGGUCCCCGGUCCUUGUUAUCUACCCUGGGAGGGUGAGGGUCGCAUGCCGGGAUUUCGGAAGCCGGAGCGCAGGCGGCGCGGGGCGGCAGGCAAGCCGUGACGAUUGGAGUCCAGACCUGAGCCCCCUGCGCUGUGUGACCUUGGGCAGAGCGCUAACCCUCUCUGGACUUCACAUCGCCAGUUCCCAGAAAGAGAGUUACCCUCUCUCCCAAAUUUAAGAAUGUUGGGCGAGUUGGGCUGUCCGGUUUAUGGUUUUCCUAAGAAGUUUAUUAAAGAGGCAGCCCCAGCCAUAGAGAGACCGAGAGCUCCCAGAGAACCCGGACUCCGCCAUCUUCACGUUGCAAUCUAUAGCUCCCAGUCCGCGCCCGCACCGACCCAGGCGCACUGGGCAAGCGGCCCCUCAGCCCAGCUCCCCCCGGGCCCGCGGCGCCAGGGGAGCGCUGGGGAGCGCUCGCGGGGACCCGGCAGCCUCUCCGGCCGGCGCCAGCCUGCCAGGUGAACUGGGAAGGAGCAGCUCCUGGAGUCCCCCCAGAGCCUCGGAAGGGUCAGUCUCCGAGAAAAAAACAGGCGGCCCGCAGAAAACCCAGAAACAACCGAACCGGGGCAGUUCUACAUUGCUUUGGGUUUUUUGAGGGGGCGGGGUGAGGGGGUACGAGACAAGUCCCCAAGUUUUCUUUGCUUUUUUCUUUUUCUUUUCUUCUUUUAUUUUUUAUUUGUUUGCAUUUUUCCCCCUUCCCCCCCCCCCUCCUGGUAGAAGUGCGCUCUCCACCUACCAGACCCUGAAAGAAAGUGUCAGGAGCCGGUGCAAAAUCCGGUUUAAGUUCAAGAAGACAUUUGGAAGUCCAGGAGGCCAAGCAGUUUGAAGAAGUGUAAGCGAUUUUUUUUCCUUCAAAAGAAUAUAUUUUUAAAGAAACCAGCCAGUCCGCGGCAAGCAACAGAUUUUUUUUUUUUUUUUGCCUUUCUCCUAUUUUAGAUCGAGAGAUUUUUCUUUUUCUUUUUUCUUCUUUUUCUUUUGGCAAACAAAACAAAAAACAGCAUAGAAGAAAGAGCAAAAUAAAGAAGAAGAAGAGAAGGAAGAGAGGGCA